GUCAAAACGACUCUCGGCAACGGAUAUCUCGGCUCUCGCAUCGAUGAAGAACGUAGCGAAAUGCGAUACUUGGUGUGAAUUGCAGAAUCCCGUGAACCAUCGAGUUUUUGAACGCAAGUUGCGCCCGAAGCCUUCGGGCCGAGGGCACGCCUGCCUGGGCGUCACGCAUCGCGUC
rnacentral:rRNA from 1 species